rnacentral:rRNA from 1 species
GACAGAGGAUGCAAGCGUUAUCCGGAAUGAUUGGGCGUAAAGCGUCUGUAGGUGGCUUUUUAAGUCUGCCGUCAAAUCCCAGGGCUUAACCCUGGACAGGCGGUGGAAACUACCAAGCUGGAGUACGGUAGGGGCAGAGGGAAUUUCCGGUGGAGCGGUGAAAUGCGUAGAGAUCGGAAAGAACACCAACGGCGAAGGCACUCUGCUGGGCCGACACUGACGCUGAGGAGCGAAAGCGUGGGGAGCGAACAGG